UGGCGCCCAUCGUAGGGCUCCUGGUAUGAAGGGCUCAACGAGGGAGCCAUCCUGAGAUGUGCGCGUAAAAGUGAAACUAAGAGUUUUGUGACCAACGCUACGUGGGAGCCUGCCACACUGCUAGAGUCAUGGUAAGUGGACGGCGAUCCUUUUCCUUUUUUUCCAGCAUAGGUCAAGCAUUAAGUGACGCUUUGUGUCAGGUUUAAGCAAAACUUUAAAGACAAGAGGGAUAAAGGCUAAAAAAAAAAAGAUUUAUUGCAGUACUUUUUUUUUUUUUU
rfam:Cavia porcellus supercont2_10 genomic scaffold, whole genome shotgun sequence.